UCAAGCGAAUAAGGGCACAGGGUGGAUGCCCAGGCGCCAAGAGCCGAUGAAGGACGUGGCAGGCUGCGAAAAGCUUGGGGGAGUCGCGAGCAGACAUUGAUCCCAAGAUAUCCGAAUGGGGAAACCCACCGAAGGUAAUGCUUCGGUACCAUAAGAUGAAUAGAUAGUCUUAUUGGGGGGUACCCGGGGAAGUGAAACAUCUGAGUACCCGGAGGAAGAGAAAGUAAAAACGAUUCUGCUAGUAGCGGCGAGCGAACGCGGAAGAGCCUAAACCGGUUGUCUUCGGAGAACCGGGGUUGAGGUAUAGCGAAAAAGCGAAGAUAGGUGAGCAGAACUACCUGGGAAGGUAGGUCACAGAGGGUGACAACCCCGUAUGCGAAGCCGAGAAUAGCUUGCUAUAACCAGAGUACCGCAGGACACGAGAAAUCCGGCGGGAAGCAGGGAGGACCACCUUCCAAGGCUAAAUACUACUUGGCGACCGAUAGCGCAUAGUACCGUGAGGGAAAGGUGAAAAGAACCCCGGGAGGGGAGUGAAAUAGAACCUGAAACCCUGUGUUUACAAGCAGAGAGAGCUCGAGCAAUGAGCGAUCUCGUACUUUUUGUAGAACGGACCGGCGAGUUACGUAUUCAAGCGAGGUUAAGUUCUUAAGGAACGGAGCCGAAGCGAAAGCGAGUCUGAAGAGGGCGAUAUAGUUUGAGUACGUAGACCCGAAACCAGGUGACCUAUCCAUGUGCAGGUUGAAGUGGUGGUAAAACAUCAUGGAGGACCGAACCAGACGUCCGUUAAAAAGGGCGGGGAUGACGUGUGGAUAGGGGAGAAAUUCCAAUCGAACCUGGAUAUAGCUGGUUCUCCUCGAAAUAGCUUUAGGGCUAGCCUCGCAAAGUGACACACGCAGGUAGAGCUCUGAAUGGGCUAGGGGGUCUCAAAGCCUACCGAACCCUAUCAAACUGCGAAUGGCGUGGAGUUGAAAAGCGGGAGUCAGUCCGUGGGAGAUAAGUUUCACGGGCAAAAGGGGAACACCCCAGAUCAGCCGCUAAGGGCCCGAAGUGUAGGUUAAGUGGGAAAGGAUGUGCAGCUGCACAGACAACCAGGAUGUUGGCUUAGAAGCAGCCAUACAUUUAAAGAGUGCGUAAUAGCUCACUGGUCGAGUGGAUGUGCGCCGAAGAUGUCCGGGGCUAAAACCUACCUCCGAAGCGCUGGGAUUUACAUUUAAGAUGUAGAUCGGUAGAGGAGCAAUGCAUAUAAGGAUGAAGCUGAAUCGAAAGACGCAGUGGACGGUAUGCAAGAGAGAAUGCCGGUAUGAGUAGCGAGAGCCGCGCGAGAAACGCGGCGGUCGAAAGCCCAAGGUUUCCUGGGGAAGGUUCAUCCACCCAGGGUAAGUCGGGACCUAAGGCGAGGACAGUAGUCGUAGCCGAUGGACAGCAGGUGGAGAUUCCUGCACCGUCUUAGUAAUGAAGCAGUGACACAGAAGGAUAGCUUGAGCGUGGUGAUGGUCAACUACGUUAGCGAAGCGAGGGAGCAAGGUAGUAAAGAACGCCUUGCGUGAAUCCUGGGCGAAGCUGGGACCGAAAAUAAGUAGGGAAGCAAGUGAGUUCACGCUGGCGAGAAAAGCUGCUAGUAUAUGUUAAGAUGCCCGUACCGUAAACCGACGCAGGUGGGCGAGGAGAGAAUCCUAAGACGAACGAGAGAACCCUUGUUAAGGAACUCGGCAAAAUGGCCCCGUAACUUCGGGAGAAGGGGCGCCUCGAAAGAGGCCGCAGAGAAUAGGCCCAAGCGACUGUUUAGCAAAAACACAGGUAUCUGCGAAAGCGAGAGCUGACGUAUAGGUGCUGACGCCUGCCCGGUGCUGGAAGGUUAAGGGGAGCGGUUAGGGGCAACCCGAAGCUGUGAACCGAAGCCCCAGUAAACGGCGGCCGUAACUAUAACGGUCCUAAGGUAGCGAAAUUCCUUGUCGGGUAAGUUCCGACCCGCACGAAUGGCGUAACGACUUGGGCGCUGUCUCAACAGGGGACUCGGUGAAAUUGAAGUAUGUGUGAAGAUGCACAUUACCCGCGACUGGACGGAAAGACCCCGUAGAGCUUAACUGUAACCUGACAUUGGAUUUUGGUAAUGGAUGUACAGGAUAGGUGGGAGCCAGAGAAGCGAGAGCGUCAGCUUUCGUGGAGGCAACGUUGGGAUACCACUCUUUUGUUACCGGAAUUCUAACAUGACGCCGUAAGCCGGCGAAUGGACAGUAUCAGGCGGGCAGUUUGACUGGGGCGGUCGCCUCCGAAAGAGUAACGGAGGCGCGCAAAGGUACCCUCAGAAUGGAUGGAAACCAUUCGAAGAGUGUAAAGGCAGAAGGGUGCUUGACUGCGAGAGAGACAUCUCGAGCAGGUACGAAAGUAGGGCUUAGUGAUCCGGCGGCACAGAGUGGAAUGGCCGUCGCUCAACGGAUAAAAGCUACCUCGGGGAUAACAGGCUGAUCUCCCCCAAGAGUCCACAUCGACGGGGAGGUUUGGCACCUCGAUGUCGGCUCGUCGCAUCCUGGGGCUGAAGUAGGUCCCAAGGGUUUGGCUGUUCGCCAAUUAAAGCGGCACGCGAGCUGGGUUCAGAACGUCGCGAGACAGUUCGGUCCCUAUCCAUCGUGGGCGUUGGAACCAUGAGAGGAGCUGUUCCUAGUACGCAAGGACCGGAAUGGACGUACCACUGGUGCAACUGUUGUCGUGCCAACGGCAUAGCAGGGAAGCGAAGUACGGACGGGAUAAACGCUGAAGGCAUCUAAGCGUGAAGCCCCCCUCAAGAAUAAGGUUCCCAUCUUUAGAUAGAGUAAGACCCCUAGAAGACUACUAGGUAAUCGGUCAUCGGUGAAAGCGCGGUAACGAGUUGAGCUUGAUGAUCCGAAUCGGUCGAGGGCUUGAUCU
rnacentral:rRNA from 1 species